GUGCUACCUGGCCUGGUGACGCACCAAAGGCUGUGGAGCUUGUGUUGGUAGAAAAGCCUGUCCCGACACAGAAGGGGCUGUCGCUGUGUGCAACAGCCCGUGCCCUGGGCAGGCUGCUGCUGGGCCUGGGCUGGGUUAGGUCGUAGCUGGGGGAAGGCCUGUGGUCACCACCUGAGGUGGCUGUCGCGCCCUCUGCAAUGCCAGUAAGCACCUUUGCCUCACAAGGCAUGCCGGGUGCAGAGCUGUGCUCAAUGCUGUCUUUCUGGUGGUACUGAGGAGCACCGAGGAGCACCGAACUUGCUGAACCUAUCUCAAGAGCAAGAGAUUUACUGUGUGAUGCCUGGCCACACCUUGAGUCCGUGCUCAGGAGAAACAAAGGAGGAAAAUUAAGCUGUGAACUGGAAUUCCAUCAGGCUGUCUACUGCGAAGCCCUGUGGCUUUAGCAAAGGGGCAGCAGUGGUCAGAAAUGACACUCAGAAGCAAAUAGCAUGUAAUUCAUAGCAGACUUCCAGCUCCUGUGAAAGAGAGAAGAUGCUUUUGCUUCACACAACCUUUGCAUCUAAGGAAGUAAGUUGAUCUCCUUGCAGAAACACUAUCACAACUACAACCUUCUUGACUAGUUCUUUAUGUCCUCCUGUCAAGCAUUAUUCUCAUUACAUGGACACUUCUCAAGGUUUUGUGUCAGUAUGGAUUAGACUCGUAAGAGCAUGCUGAGACAGUGUGCAAAGCUGCAACGUCUUCCAUCUCCAUGGCUGCUUUGAGAGGAAAUGGGAUUCCACGUCUUGCUCGGAGGUCAGGACAGUGUUAGAGGACUUUCUUCAAGCCUAAGCCAACCUCAGGUAUUCUUGGGAGAUGCACGUGUACUGGAGCAGACUGGGGUAGUGCAUGAGCAUAGACCAGGGCUUGGAAAAUGGGGUUAAGGUUGAUUUGAGGAAUGUUUUCUUUCAUUGUAGAGUUAAAGCCAUAACAGUCAAUUCAAGCAGCAGCGCUCUGAUGCCUUCUGUGAAUUACGGUGUUCUGUGCACCUACUACACACGAUCAGGAGUGGGGGGAGUCCACUGCAGACUCCACUCAUGUAAGCUGUCUCCAGCUGUCACUAGAGAUACUGAAAAGCAAGUCACCAUCACAGGUAUUUCCUGCUGCCGUCAGAUGAUGUGUAGUGACUAAUAGGGUUGCCAAGGAUGAGAAAAGAACAGGCUGCAACAGCCAAUAUUUAAUAAGUGCAUCCUAAGAUUUUUCAGAGUGAUUUCCAUAUUUAUACAUACUGUAUUUUAAUACGGCUGUGCUUGCCCAUCUACUUUUUUUUCAUAGCCUAUGCUGUCUCCACGCCUGAGAACUUUGUCUUUCCAUUGUGUUCUGUCUCACAGGCAUAGUAUAAUGACAAACCAAUUCCCUUGCUUCCUAGUUAAUGAAUAGUCUCUAGUUUUUUUCAGGCAGGAGUGUUAAAGAAAGCCUAGCUUUCAGCUAUUAAAAAUAUUCAGUGAUAUUUAUGACAGAUUUUCCACCACUUCUUUCCCGCUGCAUGUAAUCUUCAAGAUCAUUAAAGGGAAAUUCUGAGA